GAAAGGUGGAAGAUUAUAUAAGUAUGAUUUGCUUUUAGGUUUUUUGUUUUUUUUAAACCUCCUCCCCUCCCUUCCCCUUCUCCUUCCACUUUUCUCUAUCACCACCCUCCUUGGAGUUAAAGAGGAGAGCCAAGGAAAGGACAGCCACAGGCAGACAAAGGGGGCCCGGACUGCUGCCCUAUGGUCUCAGCAAUAAAAGAAAAAUUGGCCCAAGGUCAUGCUUUGGGUGAAGACAAGGUAGUGGCUCGGCGUCUUGGUUAGAAACCAGGACUGGAAGAGUCGCCCAGAGAAGUGGGCCCCAGGGCAAACCGGCUGUGGGUGGGGGGAGCCAGCUCCAGCCUGACUACGAAUCCCAUUCCAACAGCACUCCCUUCCCACUGGGGAGGCGGCCUUCCGUCCCCGGCCCCUGCCGGGAGGUGGAGGCUGACCCCAUGUGAAAGGCUCAGCGAUCCAGAGUCGGGCGACACGCAGGUUCUGGCGGAAAGUUGGCAGCCACCGCCCUCUCUCCCGGCUCCCUCCCCGACACCCCCCCGCCCCCCGCGCCUCUCCGGGCGCUACGGCGGGGGUGGGGGUGGGGGGAACUGGCCUAGUGUUCUGGAACAGCUGCAGCCGGCACUGGGCCCGCCUGGAAUGCGGGGACAAGCUGCGCACCAGGACUUUUAUGGAAACUUGCUGGUGGAGACGGCGGCGGCGGCGGCGGCGGCCAGAGGGCUCCCAGCGGCCGGAGCGGCAGCGGCAGCGGCCGGAGCGCCCAGACCCCCGCCCACACCCAGGCGCAGGACGCGCACAGCCUCUCCGCGCGCAACGAGGACACUCGCUUGUCGCCGGCUCCUGGCGGGAAUUUUUUCUUGGGUUGCCGGAUCUCUGGGAAGCCGUGUGUGCAAGCCCCGGGUGCAGUAUCUGCCAUCCAACACUGGAGUAUGAUGCAGCAGUCCCCUGAUGUCCGUAUGAGGCAAGUCUGAAGCCGUGAUAGGAUGGAGAGUCUGGACCCGGCAUCAGGGACCUGCACUUGAAAUGUUGUAGAUAUAUUUGGGUCAGCAAUCCUUCUCUUAAAUAAUGUGAUCAUGGCAAUGAGAAGAGGUUAACAUUCAUUGACACUAAUUGCUCAUGUCAAUUGGAGCUGGAAGAGACCAUGUAUACUAACUAAAACAUUUUAACUGGUGGGAUUUCAGAAAGCGUAGGGUAGGUAUUUCUGGGGAAGAAAUCUUUCGUAGGAACUCUUAAAAUACUCCUCAUCUCUCUCCACCCU
rnacentral:lncRNA from 1 species